AUUUAGUUUCAUCAUUAUAUUACGGAUGCUGAGAUGAGAGUGAAAUCACCAGAAAGUAGGUGAUAUAGAGAGUAUUAGUAAGAUAGUUACUGAAAGAGAAUAAUGCUGCUCAGAAGCAUCACUUCUUGCCUCCCAUCUUCAGCAACCAUAGACAACCUGUUCUCAGUUGCCAGGGCAGGCAGCUUGGUUCCUGAUAUCUCUCUGGAUGACACACUGCAAAGCUUCCUAUCCCUGGACUCAAGUGCUGCUCUCGAACAACAUUAUGCAGACAUUCAGCAACACUUGUCUGCUGAACAACUCACUGUUUUCAACCAGGACCUGACGUCUUUAUUGGGAGGGAACACAAAUGUGGCCUUGGGGGGUGUGGGUGUUGUGGCACUAGCCCUGUCUCUACUCUUUGAUGUCUUAGCCCACAAGGCAAAAAGGCAUGGGGACAGCAAGAAUACUAUGGACCCUACCAAAAUGAUAUUUGGAAUCAGCAAUUCCUCAAGAAUUGGGUCCCUCAUCAGUGAAUACCUGAAGCUGGUCCCUGAGAUAGCCAAUGACAUGAACAAGAUGGCAGAGGUGACAGAGCUCUAUGACCAGUACCUGAAGUAUGAGCUGAUUGACCAUUUUGAGAGGAUGACGAACAAGAAACGCAUGGGGUCAGUGGCCAUGAAACAGUGGCUGUGUGGGGCCUCUUUCCACCUGCACAUGAGGAUCCAUGAGAUCCGAUUGGGCUCCGUUCCACGAGGCUCAGCAGAAGCACUGCGUCUCUCCUACAAGACUGCGUUCACAAGCCUGGUCAAGCUCUAUACAGCCCACCUACGCAAAAAUAUCCAGGAGAUACCACCAGAGCCAGGAGCCAACAGCAUGCCAGGGCUCCUGGUCGUUGAGCCCCACAAGAACGUCACACACAGAGUUCAACACAGUCCCUGUGAGUCCAAGGUCAUUGAAGAAUUUCUGCUGGCCCGGAUCAUUGCUGCUCAGGACAUUGAGCAGAGUAAAUACUUCUUUCUGCAUACUGAAAGUGACUUUGAUGAUCUGUUCAAGCAACGGGGAGAUUUUGAGCUGAAGAAAUGAAUGAAUAAAAUCGUAUUUAUCUGCAUAAUGCACAGUGGUAGAAAUAAUGAUUUUUACUCUUAUAGUUGGCUUAUUACCUGUAAUUAAUGUCUACUCAUGUUACAAACACAAAAAAUAUUUGAUUACCACAUAAUAAAGUAACAAAAAUUGAGACAAACCAGCAUUCAUAAUGUUCUAUAGUGUGGGACUUCAGCACACAUAACCCCCCCCCAGGGUCAAAAGGUCUCUUAUUAUAACUGCUGUGCCGGGCAAUAACAAGACUAGCGAAUACACUGAGUUUCUCACUGAGUCAAGGCGUGUAGUGUACUAUGUACUAUGUGCUUUUUUAUUAAAUUUUUAUUUAACAUUAAUUGAACUAGGCAAGUCAGUUAAGAACCAAUUCUUAUUUUACCGUGACGGCCUACCCUGGCCUAACCCUAACCCGGAUGACGCGGGGCCAAUUGUAUGCCGCCCUAUGUGCGCCAUACAGUGGGUUCCUAUUUAAAGGGGGUCCUGUGUAAAAAGGGGCUGUUGUGUGAGGAUAUUGUUGUGAUUGGAUAUUGGAGGGUUCUGAAGAGGAAGGGUAUUAGGAGAGGACCUCUGACAGGUUCAUUGAUAAGGUUGUAGAGUUUUAUAACUGUGGUAUAGUAUUAAUGCGCUGACCAAUCUCAUGCAUCUGUUUCAUACAUGGCUUCUGUUCCUGUGUCUUCUGUACCACUGGUUAGCUACCUUGAGCUGAUAGCACAUAUCAAUUGUGUGUGUGUGUGUGUGUGUGUGUGUGUGUGUGUGUGUGUGUGUGUGUGUGUGUGUGUGUGUGUGUGUGUGUGUGUGUGUGCGCGCAGGGUUGCGGUACGUGUGUGUGCGCAGAGGGUUGCGGUACGUGCAUGUGCGUGUGUCUGUGUAGGUGGUGCAUCACUGUGCGUUUAUGUGCAGCUGUGUGUAGGAUUGGGCGCAGAAAUGUUUUUCAACACUAUCUGGUUGCUAUCAACUAAAGGUCAGCCAGCUCCACAGAGUCUGCACAGGGCUGUAGUUGAAAGUAGAGCAGGUGAGCGGAGCUGCUGUAUUGAUAAGAGAGGAUCAGGCUCCGUCAGCAGGCCCUGUGUACAUCAGUGUCCCUGGGAGGGGAGGAGGUGCAGGGAGUAUGCCACUUGUUGAAGCAGGACCCUCGUAAUGGGGAGGCAGGGCGUAGG
ensembl:lncRNA